rnacentral:ncRNA from 2 species
AACGAGUGAGGGAAUGAAGUUCUCCCGAGGAAAACCUAAAUUGCUUAUAAUAGCUGAUGACUUCUACGAUUAU